rnacentral:rRNA from 1 species
GUGGGGAAUAUUGGACAAUGGGCGAAAGCCUGAUCCAGCCAUGCCGCGUGUGUGAAGAAGGUCUUCGGAUUGUAAAGCACUUUAAGUUGGGAGGAAGGGCAGUAAGUUAAUACCUUGCUGUUUUGACGUUACCAACAGAAUAAGCACCGGCUAACUUCGUGCCAGCAGCCGCGGUAAUACGAAGGGUGCAAGCGUUAAUCGGAAUUACUGGGCGUAAAGCGCGCGUAGGUGGUUUUGUAAGUUGGAGGUGAAAUCCCCGAGCUCAACCUGGGAACUGCCUCCAAAACUGCAUGACUAGAGUACGGUAGAGGGUAGUGGAAUUUCCUGUGUAGCGGUGAAAUGCGUAGAUAUAGGAAGGAACACCAGUGGCGAAGGCGACUACCUGGACUGAUACUGACACUGAGGUGCGAAAGCGUGGGGAGCAAACAGGAUUAGAAACCCCUGUAGUCC